UACGUAGGGUGCGAGCGUUAAUCGGAAUUACUGGGCGUAAAGCGUGCGCAGGCGGUUCGUUGUGUCGGCGGUGAAAGCCCCGGGCUUAACCUGGGAAUGGCCGUUGAAACUGGCGAACUGGAGUGUGGCAGAGGGGGGUGGAAUUCCCGGUGUAGCGGUGAAAUUCGUAGAUAUUCGCAAGAACACCAGUGGCGAAGGCGGCUCACUGGCCCGGUACUGACGCUGAGGUGCGAAAGCGUGGGGAGCAAACAGG
rnacentral:rRNA from 1 species